rnacentral:rRNA from 1 species
UACGUAGGCAGCGAGCGUUGUUCGGAGUUACUGGGCGUAAAGGGUGUGUAGGCGGUUUUCUAAGUUUGGUGUGAAAUCUCCCGGCUCAACCGGGAGGGUGCGCCGAAAACUGGGAGACUAGAGUGCGGGAUGGGAGAGUAGAAUUCCUGGUGUAGCGGUGAAAUGCGUAGAUAUCAGGAGGAAUACCGAUGGCGAAGGCAGGUCUCUGGGCUGACACUGACGCUCAUGCACGAAAGCGUGGGGAGCAAACAGG